rnacentral:rRNA from 1 species
GACGAACGCUGGCGGCGUGCUUAACACAUGCAAGUCGAACGGAAAGGCCCUGCUUUUGUGGUGUGCUCGAGUGGCGAACGGGUGAGUAACCCGUGAGUAACCUGCCCUUGACUUUGGGAUAACUUCAGGAAACUGGGGCUAAUACCGGAUAGGAGCUCCUGCUGCAUGGUGGGGGUUGGAAAGUUUCGGCGGUUGGGGAUGGACUCGCGGCUUAUCAGCUUGUUGGUGGGGUAGUGGCGUACCAAGGCUUUGACGGGUCGCCGGCCUGAGAGGGUGACCGGCCACACUGGGACUGAGAUACGGCCCAGACUCCUACGGGAGGCAGCAGUGGGGAAUAGUGCACCAUGGGCGGAAGCCUGAUGCAGCAACGCCGCGUGCGGGAUGACGGCCUUCGGGUUGUAAACCGCUUUCGCCUGUGACGAAGCGUGAGUGACGGUAAUGGGUAAAGAAGCACCGGCUAACUACGU